rnacentral:rRNA from 1 species
UACGAAGGGGGCUAGCGUUGUUCGGAAUUACUGGGCGUAAAGCGCACGUAGGCGGAUAUUUAAGUCAGGGGUGAAAUCCCAGAGCUCAACUCUGGAACUGCCUUUGAUACUGGGUAUCUUGAGUAUGGAAGAGGUAAGUGGAAUUGCGAGUGUAGAGGCGAAAUUCGUAGAUAUUCGCAGGAACACCAGUGGCGAAGGCGGCUUACUGGUCCAUUACUGACGCUGAGGUG